rnacentral:rRNA from 1 species
AUUGAACGCUGGCGGCAGGCUUUACACAUGCAAGUCGAACGAGUGGCGGACGGGUGAGUAACGUAUCGGAAAGUGCCGGGUGGUGGGGGAUAACUAUUGGAAAAGACAGCUAAUACCGCAUAUUAUUGGAGCUGCCCAUGUCGGAUUAGCUAGUUGGAGGGGUAACGGCUCACCUAGGCGACGAUCCGUAGCUGGUCUGAGAGGAUGACCAGCCACACUGGGACUGAGACACGGCCCAGACUCCUACGGGAGGCAGCAGUGGGGAAUGUUGGACAAUGGGCGCAAGCCUGAUGCAGCCAUGCCGCGUGUAUGAAGAAGGCCUUCGGGUUGUAAAGGACUUUUGGCGGGGAAGCGGUACCUGAAGAAGAAGCACCGGCUAACUCCGUGCCAGCAGCCGCGGUAAUUC